rnacentral:rRNA from 1 species
CCUACGGGGGGCUGCAGUGGGGAAUUUUGCACAAUGGGCGAAAGCCUGAUGCAGCAACGCCGCGUGUGUGAUGAAGGUCUUCGGAUCGUAAAGCACUUUCGACCGGGACGAACAAGCCUGGCCACACCAGGCCCUGACGGUACCGGGAGAAGAAGCACCGGCUAACUCUGUGCCAGCAGCCGCGGUAAUACAGAGGGUGCAAGCGUUGUUCGGAAUUAUUGGGCGUAAAGCGCGUGUAGGCGGCUUAGCAAGUCGGGCGUGAAAGCCCUCGGCUCAACCGAGGAAGUGCACCCGAAACUGCUGAGCUUGAGUGCCGGAGAGGAUGGCGGAAUACCCCAAGUAGAGGUGAAAUUCGUAGAUAUGGGGUGGAACACCGGUGGCGAAGGCGGCCAUCUGGACGGUAACUGACGCUGAGACGCGAAAGCGUGGGGAGCAAACAGGAUUAGAUACCCGUGUAGUCC